UACGUAGGGGGCAAGCGUUGUCCGGAAUCAUUGGGCGUAAAGCGCGUGUAGGCGGCCCUAUAAGCCCGCUGUGAAAGUCCAGGGCUCAACCCUGGGAUGCCGGUGGAUACUGUCGGGCUCGAGUCCGGAAGAGGAGUGUGGAAUUCCUGGUGUAGCGGUGAAAUGCGCAGAUAUCGGGAGGAACACCAAUGGCGAAGGCAGCACUCUGGGACGUGACUGACGCUGAGACGCGAAAGCGUGGGGAGCAAACAGG
rnacentral:rRNA from 1 species